UGCAGCCAGUGACUCAAAACAUCACACGUUCUCAAGAAAUAUUGCUUUCUCAGAAUGCAAAAGAUGGAGAACCGCAUCCUACUGUUUCUGGGUCAGACUCAAAACUUCUCAAUCGGCCUUCAUAUAAGGAAUUAUA